rnacentral:rRNA from 1 species
UGGUGGAGUGAAUUGUCUGGUUACUUCCGUUAACGAACGAGACCUUAACCUGCUGAAUAGUUACACCGAACCUCGGUUACGUGGGCAACUUCUUAGAGGGACUUUGCGUGUCUAACGCAAGGAAGUUUGAGGCAAUAACA